CCUACGGGGCGCAGCAGUAGGGAAUAUUGCUCAAUGGGGGAAACCCUGAAGCAGCAACGCCGCGUGGAGGAUGAAGGUUUUCGGAUUGUAAACUCCUUUUGUUAGAGAAGAUAAUGACGGUAUCUAACGAAUAAGCACCGGCUAACUCCGUGCCAGCAGCCGCGGUAAUACGGGGGGUGCAAGCGUUACUCGGAAUCACUGGGCGUAAAGAGCGCGUAGGCGGGAUAGCAAGUCAGAUGUGAAAUCCUAUGGCUUAACCAUAGAACUGCAUUUGAAACUGGUAUUCUAGAGUAUGGGAGAGGUAGGUGGAAUUCUUGGUGUAGGGGUAAAAUCCAUAGAGAUCAAGAGGAAUACUCAUUGCGAAGGCGACCUGCUAGAACAUAACUGACGCUGAUGCGCGAAAGCGUGGGGAGCGAACAGGAUUAGAUACCCUGGUAGUC
rnacentral:rRNA from 1 species